ensembl:snRNA U4 U4 spliceosomal RNA
AGCUUUGCGCAGUGGCAGUAUGGUAGCCAAUGAGGCUUAUCCAAGGUGCAAUUAUUGCUAAUUGAAUUGGGCUGCCAAACUUUCAAUAGCUUUCACGUCUGUUCUCUCACCCUUCAGCCCCAAAUUCCUCAUCCCUUUGGGAUCAUUAGAACUCAAGCUUUUGA